rnacentral:rRNA from 1 species
AAGACAUGCGGUAGCUUACACAUGCAAGUCGAGGGGCAUCACGGGUAGCAAUACCUGGUGGCGACCGGCAGACGGGUGAGUAACGCGUAUGUAACCUACCCCAUACAGAGGGAUAACCCGGAGAAAUUCGGACUAAUACCUCAUAAGACCACACGAGGGCAUCUGAGAGUGGUUAAAGUUCCGGCGGUAUGGGCUGGGCAUGCGUAACAUUAGCUAGUUGGUAGGGUAACGGCCUACCAAGGCUACAAUGUUUAGGGGUCCUGAGAGGGUGGUCCCCCACACUGGUACUGAGACACGGACCAGACUCCUACGGGAGGCAGCAGUGAGGAAUAUUGGUCAAUGGGCGCAAGCCUGAACCAGCCAUCCCGCGUGCAGGAAGACGGCCCUAUGGGUUGUAAACUGCUUUUCCAGGGGAAGAAUAGUUUUUACGUGUAAGAACAUGACUGUACCUUGGGAAUAAGCAUCGGCUAACUCCGUGCCAGCAGCCGCGGUAAUACGGAGGAUGCAAGCGUUAUCCGGAUUCAUUGGGUUUAAAGGGUGCGUAGGCGGAUUAAUAAGUCAGUGGUGAAAUCCUACAGCUUAACUGUAGAACUGCCAUUGAUACUGUUAGUCUUGAAUUUGGUUAAGGUAGGCGGAAUGUGUAAUGUAGCGGUGAAAUGCUUAGAUAUUACACAGAACACCAAUUGCGUAGGCAGCUUACUGGACCGAUAUUGACGCUGAGGCACGAAAGCGUGGGGAUCGAACAGGAUUAGAUACCCUGGUAGUCCACGCCGUAAACGAUGAUUACUCGCUGUUGGCGAUACACAGUCAGCGGCUAAGCAAAAGCAAUAAGUAAUCCACCUGGGGAGUACGGCCGCAAGGUUGAAACUCAAAGGAAUUGACGGGGGCCCGCACAAGCGGAGGAACAUGUGGUUUAAUUCGAUGAUACGCGAGGAACCUUACCUGGGCUUAAAUGUAGAGUGCAUGAGGUGGAAACACUUCUUUCCUUCGGGACUCUUUGCAAGGUGCUGCAUGGUUGUCGUCAGCUCGUGCCGUGAGGUGUCGGGUUAAGUCCCAUAACGAGCGCACCCUUAUCGUUAGUUGCAGCGGGUAUGCCGGGACUCUAGCGAAACUGCCACCGUAGGUGAGAGAGGUGGGGAUGACGUCAAAUCAGCACGGCCUAGUCAGGCUAACACACUGUACAUUGUCGCACAGAGGCAGCUACCUGGUGACGGAUGCUAUAUCCUCGGAACCGGUCUUAGAGAU